rnacentral:rRNA from 1 species
AUUGAACGCUGGCGGCAUGCCUUACACAUGCAAGUCGAACGGUAACGGGCCUUCGGGUGCCGACGAGUGGCGAACGGGUGAGUAAUACAUCGGAACGUGCCCGAUCGUGGGGGAUAACGAGGCGAAAGCUUUGCUAAUACCGCAUACGAUCUACGGAUGAAAGCAGGGGACCGCAAGGCCUUGCGCGGACGGAGCGGCCGAUGGCAGAUUAGGUAGUUGGUGGGAUAAAAGCUUACCAAGCAGACGAUCUGUAGCUGGUCUGAGAGGAUGAUCAGCCACACUGCGACUGCGACACGGCCCAGACUCCUACGGGAGGCAGCAGUGGGGAAUUUUGGACAAUGGGCGCAAGCCUGAUCCAGCCAUGCCGCGUGCAGGAUGAAGGCCUUCGGGUUGUAAACUGCUUUUGUACGGAACGAAAAGCCUUCUUUUAAUACAGGAGGGUCAUGACGGUACCGUAAGAAUAAGCACCGGCUAACUACGUG